UUCGUUCUCCUGACAAAAAUUGAUGUCAACCUGUAACUGACUUUAAAUAAAUAACACUGCAAUUAGAAGUUUUCAUGAUUUGGUGCUAUAUCAUUUCCAUGUAUAUUUGACAGGAUGUAAGCUGUGAGAUCCAGAUUCUGCAAGGCUUCAUCAUUAUCGAUCUUUGUUGCAAGACUGAGGUUGAUCAGCAAUAUUAGAUGUAAUAUGGAUCUGCAUUUUGCAAGAAUUCCUGCAAGAGUUUAUUGAAAAAAAGUU